GGGCUUUUAGCUCACUCGGUAGAGCGCUGAGUCCGCAUCUCAGAGGUACGGGGAUCGAAGCCCUGAAGGUCCA